UUUCCAUUUAAUCCUUUUGCUGCACGGUCUGGCUCAUGCACACAUUGACCGCGCCCUAAAGCUGCAGGGAACAGGGGGGCAGCGUAUCCAGAGCACAGCAAAAGCAAAUCAAAGCAUCAGCACCAGGCUACAAAGUAUGCUGCUCGACCUACUGAGCUUUGUCAGCACAUUUUUUCCCCCUGGACAGCUGAGGAAUUGAGCGCCUAAGUACAGAGCGAAUGGAUGAUGCUGAAGUUUUCAGAACCAAAGGAGCAAUUCCUUGCAUAUUGCUGUCAACAGCACAAGAGAAAAAUGAGAACGUUAUUCAGAAA